CCUGGCUGCAGCAACGAAUAUUCCGCAAUGGGCGCAAGCCUGACGGAGCGACGCCGCGUGGAGGAUGAAGUCCUUCGGGAUGUAAACUUCGAUAGUUUAUCAGGAAGUGAGGCGACCUAAUACGUCGCCGAUUUGACCAGCAGACGAAAGGGACGGCUAACUCCGUGCCAGCAGCCGCGGUAAGACGGAGGUCCCUAGCGUUGUUCGGAAUCACUGGGCUUAAAGCGCAUGUAGGCGGAACGGUGAGUACCUUGUGAAAUCCCCGGUCUCAAGCCGGGAACUGCUCGGUAUACUAUCGUUCUUGAGGUAGGUAGGGGUCACUGGAACCUUAGGUGGAGCGGUGAAAUGCGUAGAUAUCUAAGGGAACGCCUGUGGCGAAAGCGGGUGACUGGGCCUAUCCUGACGCUGAGACGCGAAAGCCAGGGUAGUGAACG
rnacentral:rRNA from 1 species